rnacentral:rRNA from 1 species
CUCCCGUAGGGUACCUGCGGAAGGAUCAUUAUCGAGUUUUGAACGGGUUGUCUGCUGGCUCGCAAGGGCAUGUGCACGCCUGUCUCAUCCACUCUCAACUUCUGUGCACUUUUCAUAGGCCGGCUUGUGGGUGCGUUCGCGCACUUGUAGGUGUCGGGCUUAUGCUUUAUUACAAACGAUUCAGUUUUAGAAUGUCAUACUUUGCUAUAACGCAAUUUAUAUACAACUUUCAGCAACGGAUCUCUUGGCUCUCGCAUCGAUGAAGAACGCAGCGAAAUGCGAUAAGUAAUGUGAAUUGCAGAAUUCAGUGAAUCAUCGAAUCUUUGAACGCACCUUGCGCUCCUUGGUAUUCCGAGGAGCAUGCCUGUUUGAGUCUCAUGGAAUUCUCAACCUUCAGCUUUAUUGAUGAAGGCUUGGACUUGGAGGUCGUGCCGGCUCUCGUAGUCGGCUCCUCUGAAAUGCAUUAGUGCGAACGUUACCAGCCCGCUUCAGCGUGAUAAUUAUCUGCGUUGCUGUGGAGGGUAUUCUAGUGUCACGCUUCUAACCGUCUUCGGACAAAUUUCUGAACUCUGAGCUCAAAUCAGGUAGGACUACCCGCUGAACUAAGCAUAUCAAUAAAGCGGAGGAA